rnacentral:lncRNA from 10 species
UUUUCUAUGUUCUGUGAUUUCAGACGAGAAACCCCAGCUGAGGAGGCAAAUAUACUCAAGGAAAGUAAUAGUUUCCAAAUGCCUGGCAGUGCCAGGAAGGGGCCAUGUCCAUGGACCACUAUGUAAGGAUAUCUCAGUCUCUAGUCCAGCGUGGUUUAUGGUGCCAAAUAAGUGCCAGGUGAACUCACUACAUCUGACAAAAUCUCAAGGAACCAAGUUUACCAGAUAAUAUUUAUGAUUAUGUGAAAAAGACUGAGGAAAUCACUCAAGUGAUCCAUCAUACAGCACCUCCAGUUCCAAAGAAUACUGACUUACUUCAGCUGUACUGGUCUGGAGCUGCACAUUCUUUUCAGACAACUCUUGUUCCAGCUAGAGUGCAAUGGUGCAACCUCAGCUCACUGCAACCUCCGCUUCCCAGGUUCAAGCGAUUCUCCUGCUUCAGCCUCCCUGGUUGCUGGGAUUACAGGUGCUCAUCACCAUGUGCAGCUAAUUUUUUGUAUUUUUAGUAGAGACAGGGUUUUACCAUGUUGCCCAGGCUGGUCUCGAACUCCUGACCUCAGGUGAUCCACCCACCUCAGCCCCCCAAAGUUCUGAGAUUACAGACGUGAGACACUGCACCCGACCGGGGUGUUCAUUUUCUAAAAUCUUAAGUUGAAUGCCUUUUAAAAAAAA